rnacentral:tRNA from 1 species
GGUUUUGUGGUGUAGUUGGUUAUCACAUCUGUCUAACACACUGGUGGUCCCCAGUUCGAGUCAGGACCAAAUUA